CCACAUAAUUCAGUGGAUUAUUGGGUCGUGUUCUUUAGGAAAAAAACAACUAUUUUGAGACAUGUCUAAUAAGUCGAUGCAAAUACGUGUUCUAUGUUGCUUGCCCCUACUGAACCAAACCCUGAUGUUAAAGGCAGAGUGCAGCAAAUGAUAAUGAUGUCAGUGUUAAUCCAGGUGAGGGUGUUAAUGAUGUCAGUGUUAAUCCAGGUGAGGGUGUUAAUGAUGUCAGUAUUAAUCCAGAUGAGGGUGUUAAUGAUGUCAGUAUUUAUCCAGAUGAGGGUGUUAAUGAUGUCAGUGUUAAUCCAGGUGAGGGUGUUAAUGAUGUCAGUGUUAAUCCAGAUGAGGGUGUUAAUGAUGUCAGUGUUAAUCCAGAUGAGGGUGUUAAUGAUGUCAGUAUUAAUCCAGGUGAGGGUGUUAAUGAUGUCAGUAUUAAUCCAGGUGAGGGUGUUAAUGAUGUCAGUAUUAAUCCAGAUGAGGGUGUUAAUGAUGUCAGUAUUAAUCCAGAUGAGGGUGUUAAUGAUGUCAGUAUUAAUCCAGAUGAGGGUGUUAAUGAUGUCAGUGUUAAUCCAGGUGAGGGUGUUAAUGAUGUCAGUAUUAAUCCAGAUGAGGGUGUUCAUGAUGUCAGUAUUAAUCCAGAUGAGGGUGUUAAUGAUGUCAGUGUUAAUCCAGGUGAGGGUGUUAAUGAUGUCAGUAUUAAUCCAGAUGAGGGUGUUAAUGAUGUCAGUGUUAAUCCAGGUGAGGGUGUUAAUGAUGUCAGUAUUAAUCCAGAUGAGGGUGUUAAUGAUGUCAGUGUUAAUCCAGAUGAGGGUGUUAAUGAUGUCAGUGUUAAUCCAGAUGAGGGUGUUAAUGAUGUCAGUGUUAAUCCAGAUGACGGUGUUAAUGAUGUCAGUAUUAAUCCAGG